rnacentral:lncRNA from 1 species
UCUCGUUCCAAUGAGAAUGAAGACUGAGGUGUGCGCCUUUUUUUUCUCUCUCUCACUUUUUAAAUUUUUUUUAUUUUUUUGAGUCUCAAUCGUGUGGACAUCACUGGGAAUGGAGGGAAAUAACUGACUGAAUGGUCGUUGCUUUUAAGUUUCAAACCGACAUUCCAGGCGGGUUGUGUCUGAGCCAGCCUCGGGCUUUCAGACCUUCACAGCCUGGUCCUGAGAAGGUAGAGCUCUCAGCUUCUCCCUGGGCUCCCAUGGACCGGAAACAAAGCAGAAACGCGAAUCCCCGGCUCGGGCUUUUACUGGAAGAUGGGCAAAGUGAGGAGGAGCAGGAGGGGAUAGGAUGUGACUGAGCCGUACAGCCUCCAGCAUCUUGCUCCUGGAUGGACUGGAUCCUACAGGGAGACUCUGGAGCUGGUAAGACAAGCAUUCUCGUCUGACUUUAAAAAUGAAGAGCUUGGAGCCCCCAGUGCAUGUGGGUGAGGUCCUCCAGGUUCUGGGCCCUGUGCUGGACUAGGAGGACAAAACAGAACGCAAAGCCCACAGCAAGUGGGACCCCUGCGUGAUGAGGGUGCAGAGAGUACCUGCCUGGAGGGGAAAGGCUCCCUGCAGCCAGGGCCAGCUUCCCCAGGCUUCUAAUCCAGGAGUAAGCCAGCAAAUACUCACGGAGAUGUCCCAUAGAAAAAUCGUGUACUUCAUAGGGCAUAUCUGAGCCAAUGACUCAACUUAUGGAUCAUUACCAGAGAAAAACAAAAUAUCCUGCCAUCCAGUGAGAUGAUGUGAUGCUUUUUAUUUUUACUAGUAGAUUGCUCCAUUUAUAAAUCUUUAAUAAAAUCCUACCCCCACCAAAGAGCAUCU